GAUGAACGCUAGCGGCAGGCUUAACACAUGCAAGUCGAGGGGCAGCGCGAUGUAGCAAUACAUUGGCGGCGACCGGCGCACGGGUGCGUAACACGUAUGGAACUUACCCUUUACUGGGAGGUAGCCCGGAGAAAUCCGGAUUAAUAUCCCAUAAUAAACGAAGUGGCAUCACUUUGUUUUGAAAGCUCCGGCGGUAAAGGAUGGCCAUGCGCACGAUUAGCUAGUAGGUGAGGUAACGGCUCACCUAGGCUACGAUCGUUAGGGGGCCUGAGAGGGUUAUCCCCCACACUGGUACUGAGACACGGACCAGACUCCUACGGGAGGCAGCAGUGAGGAAUAUUGCGCAAUGGAGGCAACUCUGACGCAGCCAUGCCGCGUGCAGGAAGAAGGCGCUACGCGUUGUAAACUGCUUUUAACCGGGAAGAAACCCUCCGACGUGUCGGAGGUUGACGGUACCGGAGGAAUAAGCACCGGCUAACUUCGUGCCAGCAG
rnacentral:rRNA from 1 species